UCUAGAAAUUUCGAUUUUUCUAUGCAAAAAAUCUCAUCCAUAUCGUCUUGUUGCUUGCAGUGCAUAGAUCUACCCAUUCUCGACCAACAUCAAGUGAAGUUCAGAUCUUUUGUCUGCCCAAAUAACUCCCUUGUUGGUGUCCCCUGGCGAAAGAGAGAGGCAGCUAGGCUGCUAACGUCAAUCUGCUGCAUGCAUCUUGGAUGCGGUUCUUUGGGUGGCAAUGGAGCUGCAGAAGCAAUGGGCCAGAGGCCUGACUCACAGGGAGGUAGGUGGUUGGGAGUAUCUUCAGCUGCACCUCAUUCUGUUCAGAUGCCAUGGUACUCAGUGAGAUUGGCUAGGCAUCAGAUGAUCAGAGCUUCAGGUUGUGAGUACUGCCUCUAAUUCGAUCCACCUACGACAUUGGGAAUGCUGCUAGGGUAUAGCAAAUUCUUAACAAAAAAAGAAUCCGGUAGGAUAUGGCAAUGGGAUUACUUUUGAUCUGGCUGCUUUACUUUUCGUUUUUUUGCUCAAACAUGAUCAUUUUGUGGCCAGGCCACUAGCUUUUAUGCCCAUGCAUGGUAUUAUUUGUGACCAGGCUACUUUAGUUUUAUUUUUCAUACAUAGUAAUAUAGUAUUAAUGUGACCAGGCCAAUCUAGUUUUUAUGUUCACAAAUGGUAUUAUCAGUGAUCAGGCUAUUCUAGUUACUGUGUUCGUAAAUAGUAUUAUUUGUGAUCUACUUUAAUUUUUGUGCUAAAAAUGAUUUAUUUGCAAUCAAUCCACUUAAGAUUUCACACUCAUGCAUGAGUUUAUUUGUGAUCAAGCCACUCUAGUUUUUGUGUUGCCACAUGGUAUUAUUUGUGAUCAAGCCAGUUAUUUUUUUGUGUUCACUUUGGAUGAUAGAGGUUCUACAUGUAGACAUGUCACUAUUUGCACUGAGGAACUUAACUUUGCUAGAUUGCAUAAAUUUUCCUAGGCAUACAUGGAAAUAUUUGUGACCAGGCUAUUUAGCCUGCAAAUAACUAAGUUUUUUAUGGUUAACAUGGGAAUAUCUAUGCAUGUUAUUAUUUUGUGGUGAAGAAACUAACUCCAUGAUAGGUUACAUAUAAAUAAAUUUUCUAUUGACGCUUAACAUUAUUUAUGAUAAUGCUAACAUG